rnacentral:rRNA from 1 species
AGGGAAUCUUCCACAAUGGACGAAAGUCUGAUGGAGCAAUGCCGCGUGAGUGAAGAAGGGUUUCGGCUCGUAAAACUCUGUUGUUAAAGAAGAACACCUUUGAGAGUAACUGUUCAAGGGUUGACGGUAUUUAACCAGAAAGCCACGGCUAACUACGUGCCAGCAGCCGCGGUAAUACGUAGGUGGCAAGCGUUGUCCGGAUUUAUUGGGCGUAAAGCGAGCGCAGGCGGUUUUUUAAGGCUGAUGUGAAAGCCUUCGGCUUAACCGGAGAAGUGCAUCGGAAACUGGGAGACUUGAGUGCAGAAGAGGACAGUGGAACUCCAUGUGUAGCGGUGGAAUGCGUAGAUAUUAGGAGGAACACCAGUGGCGAAAGCGGCUUUCUGGACGACAACUGACGCUGAGGCGCGAAAGCCAGGGGAGCAAACG